rnacentral:rRNA from 1 species
UACGAAGGGGGCUAGCGUUGCUCGGAAUGACUGGGCGUAAAGGGCGCGUAGGCGGAUUGCACAGUCAGAUGUGAAAUUCCUGGGCUUAACCUGGGGGCUGCAUUUGAUACGUGUGAUCUAGAGUGAGGAAGAGGGUCGUGGAAUUCCCAGUGUAGAGGUGAAAUUCGUAGAUAUUGGGAAGAACACCGGUGGCGAAGGCGGCGACCUGGUCCUUGACUGACGCUGAGGCGCGAAAGCGCGGGGAGCAAACAGG